GGGGAAUAUUGGACAAUGGGGGGAACCCUGAUCCAGCCAUGCCGCGUGUGUGAAGAAGGCAUUUUUGUUGUAAAGCACUUUAAGCGAGGAGGAGGCUCUUCUAGUUAAUACCUAGGAUGAGUGGACGUUACUCGCAGAAUAAGCACCGGCUAACUCUGUGCCAGCAGCCGCGGUAAUACAGAGGGUGCGAGCGUUAAUCGGAUUUACUGGGCGUAAAGCGUGCGUAGGCGGCCAAUUAAGUCAAAUGUGAAAUCCCCGAGCUUAACUUGGGAAUUGCAUUCGAUACUGGUUGGCUAGAGUAUGGGAGAGGAUGGUAGAAUUCCAGGUGUAGCGGUGAAAUGCGUAGAGAUCUGGAGGAAUACCGAUGGCGAAGGCAGCCAUCUGGCCUAAUACUGACGCUGAGGUACGAAAGCAUGGGGAGCAAAC
rnacentral:rRNA from 1 species